CGAUAACGAACGAGACCUUAACCUGCUAAAUAGCCCGUAUUGCUUUGGCAGUACGCCGGCUUCUUAGAGGGACUAUCGGCUCAAGCCGAUGGAAGUUUGAGGCAAUAACAGGUCUGUGAUGCCCUUAGAUGUUCUGGGCCGCACGCGCGCUACACUGACGGAGCCAGCGAGUACUCCCUUGGCCGGAAGGCCCGGGUAAUCUUGUUAAACUCCGUCGUGCUGGGGAUAGAGCAUUGCAAUUAUCGCUCUUCAACGAGGAAUCCCUAGUAAGCGCAAGUCAUCAGCUUGCGUUGAUUACGUCCCUGCCCUUUGUACACACCGCCCGUCGCUACUACCGAUUGAAUGGCU
rnacentral:rRNA from 1 species